AUUGAACGCUGGCGGCAGGCUUAACACAUGCAAGUCGAGCGGAGGUGAGGUGCUUGCACCUUAUCUUAGCGGCGGACGGGCGAGUAAUGCAUAGGAAUCUGCCUAUCAGUGGGGGACAACAUUCCGAAAGGAAUGCUAAUACCGCAUACGCCCUACGGGGGAAAGCAGGGGCUCUUCCGCCCUUGCGCUAACAGAAGAGCCAUGGUCGGAUUAGCUAGUUGGUGGGGUAAAGGCCUACCAAGGGGUAGUUCUGUAGCGGGUCGGAGAGGAUGAUCCGCCACACUGGGACUGAGACACGGCCCAGACGCCUACGGGAGGCAGCAGUGGGGAAUAUUGGACAAUGGGCGGAAGCCUGAUCCAGCCAUGCCGCGUGUGUGAAGAAGGCCUUUUGGUUGUAAAGCACUCUAAGCGAGGAGGAGGCUACCUGGAUUAAUACUCUAGGAUAGUGGACGUUACUCGCAGAAUAAGCACCGGCUAACUCUGUGCCAGCCGCCGCGGUAACAC
rnacentral:rRNA from 1 species